UACGUAGGGCGCAAGCGUUAUCCGGAAUUAUUGGGCGUAAAGAGCUCGUAGGCGGUUUGUCGCGUCUGCCGUGAAAGUCCGGGGCUCAACUCCGGAUCUGCGGUGGGUACGGGCAGACUAGAGUGAUGUAGGGGAGAGUGGAAUUCCUGGUGUAGCGGUGAAAUGCGCAGAUAUCAGGAAGAACACCCGUGGCGAAAGCGGCUCUCGUGGAAC
rnacentral:rRNA from 1 species